AAACCAAAGGUAUAUUAUUAUAAAUUUAAACAAUACUUAAUCUAUAUAUAGAUCAGAGGCAUAUUUCAAGGUAUACAAUAGAACAAUACUCUUAGUUGGAAAUAGUCGAGAGUGAAGAAAAGUAAAACUAUCUAACAAAAUGGUUUCGUGUCUUAAUUUCUUUCUUUCUUUGAACUUUGGCAACUUCGCAAAGCGUCUCGUUUCAAGGACUGAUAAAGCUAACACUAAGCCUCAGGCAUCCAAGUCUACAUAUACAAUUGUGGAACGAGACUUUCCACGGGGCCACAAUUAUUAGGAAAAAGGAUUUAUACACUCACACUCCAUAUAAAUUUUAAGAAGAAAGAAAUAUCAGAGUAAUGUGAUAUAUUUAUAAUACAAUGAAAAAUAAAGAUAUAAAUAAGAUAAUGUAUUAAAUGGGUGUUUGAAAAUUAUAAGUGUAUACAUAUGCAGCAACAGGCCUCUCAAUUGUUAUUGUAGGCUUAAUUAGUUUUUGUUUUUGUUUGUUUAGUUCAAUAUGUGUUCGUUGUAUUUUUUAUUUUAUUUUUUUAAAAUUUUUUGCUGUUUGAGAGUUAGUUUUGUAAAAAUAUUUAUCGCAACUUUGCUCUAAGUUCUUUCAAACCAUC